CCCGGGCCCGCUGGGCGACUGCCUGCGGGACUGGGAGGAUCUACAGCAGGACUUCCAGAACAUCCAGGAGACCCAUCGGCUCUACCGCCUGAAGCUGGAGGAGCUGACCAAACUUCAGAACAAUUGCACCAGCUCCAUCACGCGGCAGAAGAAGCGGCUCCAGGAGCUGGCCCUCGCCCUGAAGAAAUGCAAACCCUCCCUCCCAGCAGAGGCCGAGGGGGCCGCACAGGAGCUGGAGAACCAGAUGAAAGAGCGCCAAGGCCUCUUCUUUGACAUGGAGGCCUAUUUGCCUAAGAAGAAUGGAUUGUACCUGAGCCUGGUUCUGGGGAACGUCAACGUCACGCUCCUGAGCAAGCAGGCUAAGUUUGCCUACAAGGACGAGUAUGAGAAGUUCAAGCUCUACCUCACCAUCAUCCUCAUCCUCAUCUCCUUCACUUGCCGCUUCCUGCUCAACUCCAGGUGGGCGUCCCACCCCGGCCGAGGACCCACCCCAUCCCCAGUCGCUGCAGUACCAACCCUCGGUCCCCUCCCUCCGCAGGGUGACAGAUGCUGCCUUCAACUUCCUGCUGGUCUGGUACUACUGCACCCUGACCAUCCGGGAGAGCAUCCUCAUCAACAACGGCUCCCGGUGGGCAGGGUGGGCCCUGAGGGAGGGGAGCAUGGAAUGGGGUGCCAGGACCCUCCGGGAAGCAGGAACAGGCCCUGGGGGUGAUGGUGGCUCUCUGCUCCAGGAUCAAAGGUUGGUGGGUGUUCCAUCACUACGUGUCCACCUUCCUGUCGGGAGUCAUGCUGACGUGGCUUCGUGCAGUUUCUCCAGUACUACUACCAGAGCGGCUGCCUCUACCGCCUGCGGGCGCUGGGCGAGCGGCACACCAUGGACCUCACUGUGGAGGGCUUCCAGUCCUGGAUGUGGCGGGGCCUCACCUUCCUGCUGCCUUUUCUUUUCUUUGG
rnacentral:sRNA from 1 species